ACAAUGGCUGUGGUAUGUGCCCAGAAGUACCCUCCCACAGGAUGAUGGCAGGACUUAGGAGAUAGCAGAAAUUUCUAAGGCAUCACCAGCCCAGCUGUUGUACUGCUUUGGAUACCUCAAAGUAGAAUGUCUUAGGCCUACAAGGCAAGCAGAUGCUCCCAGAAAGGACCACGCUGCCAUACAGUCUACAUGGAGACAGUUUGGAAAUAAACACUGGAUGACAAGUCCCAUUAGAGACUGAAAGUAAUGGACUAUUUGCUGCAAAAGGAAGACGGGAUAUCUUUCGAAGAAAAUGGGAAGCUUUUAAGGGACAGACUGCUUACUCUUCUGGAGCCUUUGGUUCUGGUAAUCUUCCCAGCCCCAGAUGUGAAGUCUGGCUGGAGCAGAGGGAGGAAGGAAUGGGGUCAUCAGCAAGGAAACUCAGACGACUGGUAAAGUUAGAGCGUGAGGAGGCUCGCUUCUUCUAGACUGGACUAUUGAAUUCAGUGCUGCAAUGCAAAGGAAUAACCUGAACUAACAGUGAAUUCUUGGGUCGUUGUGCACAGCUCCCUCUAUUUUCGCCACGAUAUUUAUGUAAUAUAAAUGCUAUAUAACA